GUGCCAGCACCCGCGGUAAGACGGAGGGUGCAAGCGUUAAUCGGAAUUACUGGGGGUAAAGCGCACGCCCGGGGUCUGUUAAGUCAGAUGUGAAAUCCCCGGGCUUAACCUGGGAACUGCAUUUGAAACUGGCAGGCUAGAGUCUCGUAGAGGGGGGUAGAAUUCCAGGUGUAGCGGUGAAAUGCGUAGAGAUCUGGAGGAAUACCGGUGGCGAAGGCGGCCCCCUGGACGAAGACUGACGCUCAGGUGCGAAAGCGUGGGGAGCAAACAGGAUUAGAUACCCUGGUAGUCCACGCUGUAAACGAUGUCGAUUUGGAGGUUGUGGCCUUGAGCCGUGGCUUCCGGAGCUAACGCGUUAAAUCGACCGCCUGGGGAGUACGGCCGCAAGGUUAAAACUCAAAUGAAUUGACGGGGGCCCGCACAAGCGGUGGAGCAUGUGGUUUAAUUCGAUGCAACGCGAAGAACCUUACCUACUCUUGACAUCCACGGAACUUGCCAGAGAUGGCUUGGUGCCUUCGGGAACCGUGAGACAGGUGCUGCAUGGCUGUCGUCAGCUCGUGUUGUGAAAUGUUGGGUUAAGUCCCGCAACGAGCGCAACCCUUAUCCUUUGUUGCCAGCGGUUAGGCCGGGAACUCAAAGGAGACUGCCAGUGAUAAACUGGAGGAAGGUGGGGAUGACGUCAAGUCAUCAUGGCCCUUACGAGUAGGGCUACACACGUGCUACAAUGGCAUAUACAAAGAGAAGCGACCUCGCGAGAGCAAGCGGACCUCAUAAAGUAUGUCGUAGUCCGGACUGGAGUCUGCAACUCGACUCCAUGAAGUCGGAAUCGCUAGUAAUCGUAGAUCAGAAUGCUACGGUGAAUACGUUUCCGGGCCUUGUACACACCGCCCGG
rnacentral:rRNA from 1 species